rnacentral:tRNA from 1 species
GUCCCCAUCGUCUAGUUGGCCCAGGACUCCGGAUUUUCAUUCCGGCAACAGGGGUUCAAAUCCCCUUGGGGACG